ACGAGUGGCGAACGGGUGAGUAACGCGUACCCAACCUACCUUGUACAGGAAGAUAGCCCCGGGAAACUGGGAUUAAUACUCCAUAAUGUUUUCGGAUCGCAUGAUCUGAUUAUUAAAGCUCCGGCGGUACAGGAUGGGGGUGCGUCCAAUUAGUUUGUUGGUGGGGUAACGGCCUACCAAGACUACGAUAGGUAGCUGGCGUGAGAGCGCGACCAGCCACACUGGAACUGAGACACGGUCCAG
rnacentral:rRNA from 1 species